GGGUCUGCAGUUCACCCAGGCGUCGCCGGUCCGUAUUGGAACCACGCUAAACCUGCCA
rfam:Amantichitinum ursilacus strain IGB-41 contig03, whole genome shotgun sequence.